rnacentral:lncRNA from 1 species
GGAAAGAGGAACAAAACCAAACCCAGCAAACCUGCUUGUAAGUGAUAAGACAAGGAGGGGGAGAGCAGCAGAGAUGGUGCUGAAGGGUUUAUACUGACUUCCUGGACAUUCAAAGUGCAGUAUCAUUUCUGUGGCUGCUCCUGCCUCGCUGGAAAAUGCAAAGAACCUUUAGUAGUUCUGCAACCGAGGGUGGGUGCAGAGACAGACCUGCACUCAGGGACUGCAGCUGGCACUGUGCUACAAGCAAGUCUGUGAAAGUAUUUGGCUGCCUUAAAAUCACAAAUUAAUUUAGACUUUGUUUGCAUCUACUUUCCAUUAUGAUUUCUGUGGCAAUUCAAGAGUAUGCUUCCUGGGACUCCAGCCCUGGUGUUUAGAUGCAAGGGAACUUGACUGCUGGAGAAAGUAUGUCCUUAUGAAAUAGCCAGGACUGUUUCACAGCUCAAGCUCACAGCCUACUCUCCUGCCCUCUGCCACUGUGAUCAACAGUGAGGAGGGGUGACGGUGAUCUUGCUCAUCUUGUGGCGAGGCUCAGCAAGCUGAAGUUUAAUAAAUAAGUCAAUUGUGAG